UACGGGGGGGGGCAAGCGUUGUUCGGAAUUACUGGGCGUAAAGGGCUUGUAGGUGGCCAACUAAGUCAUACGUGAAAUCCCUCGGCUUAACCGGGGAACUGCGUCUGAUACUGGAUGGCUUGAGUUCGGGAGAGGGAUGCGGAAUUCCAGGUGUAGCGGUGAAAUGCGUAGAUAUCUGGAGGAACACCGGUGGCGAAGGCGGCAUCCUGGACCGAUACUGACGCUGAGGAGCG
rnacentral:rRNA from 1 species